rnacentral:rRNA from 1 species
GACGAACGCUGGCGGCGUGCUUAACACAUGCAAGUCGAACGCUGAAGCUUGGUGCUUGCUCUGGGUGGAUGAGUGGCGAACGGGUGAGUAAUAAGUGAGUAACCUGCCCUUGACUCUGGGAUAAGCCUGGGAAACUGGGUCUAAUACUGGAUACGACAUGUCACCGCAUGGUGGUGUGUGGAAAGGGUUUUACUGGUUUUGGAUGGGCUCACGGCCUAUCAGCUUGUUGGUGGGGUAAUGGCUCACCAAGGCGACGACGGGUAGCCGGCCUGAGAGGGUGACCGGCCACACUGGGACUGAGACACGGCCCAGACUCCUACGGGAGGCAGCAGUGGGGAAUAUUGCACAAUGGGCGGAAGCCUGAUGCAGCGACGCCGCGUGAGGGAUGACGGCCUUCGGGUUGUAAACCUCUUUCAGCACGGAAGAAGCGAAAGUGACGGUACGUGCAGAAGAAGCGCCGGCUAACUACGUG